rnacentral:sRNA from 1 species
AGUUUGCACUUAUCGGGAAGGGUGAGAACCUUCGAUUAAGGUUCGACUCUCGUGAAAGCGAGAGAACGUUGCCAAAGGCAACGGCCCGAAGGGUGAGGAGCGAAGCGACGAAUAAUCCUUCCUCCACCACCA